rnacentral:tRNA from 1 species
CGGGGUGCUGUGCGGCGCGGCCGGGCACCAGCCGCUGGAGCCGGCCGUGCACCGUCUGCUCCGCCUCGGGCACACCUCGG